rnacentral:rRNA from 1 species
AACGAACGCUGGCGGCAGGCUUAAUACAUGCAAGUCGAGCGCACCUUUCGGGGUGUGUGGCCGACGGGUGAGUAACGCGUGGGAAUCUUCACUUCUCUACGGGAUAGCUACGGGACACUGGUAAUAAUACCGUAUACGUGCUGAGGGCGAAGGACUUAUCGGGGAAGGUUGUGCUGGCGUGGGAUUUGCUAGUUGGAUGGGUAAAGGCUUCCCAAGGCGAGGAUUCAUAGCUGGUCUAAGAGGAUGAUCAGCCACACUGGGACUGAGACGCGGCCCAAACUCCUACGGGAGGCAGCAGUGGGGAAUAGUGGACAGUGGGCGCAAGCCUGAUCCAGCCAGGCCGCGAGAGUGAUGAAAGCCCUAGGGUUGUAAAGCUCAAUCAGCUGGGAAGAUAAUGACGGUACCCACAGAAGAAGCCCCGGCUAACUUCGUG